rnacentral:rRNA from 1 species
AGUGAACGCUGGCGGUAGGCCUAACACAUGCCAGUCGAACGGCAGCACAGUAAGAGCUUGCUCUUACGGGUGGCGAGUGGCGGACGGGUGAGGAAUACAUCGUAAUCUACUUUUUCGUGGGGGAUAACGUAGGGAAACUUACGCUAAUACCGCAUACGACCUACGGGUGAAAGCAGGGGAUCUUCGGACCUUGCGCGAUAGAAUGAGCCGAUGUCGGAUUAGCUAGUUGGCGGGGUAAAGGCCCACCAAGGCGACGAUCCGUAGCUGGUCUGAGAGGAUGAUCAGCCACACUGGAACUGAGACACGGUCCAGACUCCUACGGGAGGAAGCAGUGGGGAAUAUUGGACAAUGGGCGCAAGCCUGAUCCAGCUAUACCGCGUGGGUGAAGAAGGCCUUCGGGUGGUAAAGCCCUUCUGUUGGGAAAGAAAAGCAGCAGGUUAAUACCCCGCUGUUCUGACGGUACCCAAAGAAUAAGCACCGGCUAACUUCGUG